rnacentral:lncRNA from 1 species
ACCAAAACAGGUUCCAAAAUAGGUUCCAACCAUAACAGCCUUAGGAAUAUGUGCACAAACCAAAACAGGUUCCAAAAUAGGUUCAAACCAUAACAGCCUUAGGAAUAUAUGCACAAACCAAAACAAGUUCCAAAACCAAAACAGGUUCCAAAACCAAAAUAGGUUCCAAAACCAAAAUAGGGUCCAAAACAGGUUCCAACCAAACAUUCAAGGAUGAAAAAAAAUCUUCCACAACAUUCAAGUCUUCCACAACAUGUCUAGACCAUCAAAGUCUUCCACAACAUUCAAGGAUGAAAAAAAGGAUCUUUGACAAAAUGGCUCCUCUGUUGAUCUUUCAUCCUCCUCCUAUGUUGUUGUACUCGAGAUAGUUUGGCAGGUUAAGAUGCUUGAGAUGGUUGGGAUUGAGAAGCAUCAGCUGCUUGAGAUGGUUGGGAUUGAGAAGCAUCAGCUACUUCAGAAGCCUGGGUGAGAAGGCAUUUGGGAACUGCUUGCUUGUUUCCUUUGCCUUAAUUGCAUACUCUGUUGUCCACUACUUGUGUCUCCACCAUCUCUCCUUCUUACCUAAAACAAAUAAUAAUUAGAAGUUUCUAUGAUAUGAAAUUUUGAUUGGUGAAAACAUAGUUGAAACCGUGGCACUUACUGCAAGUUUUUUCUUGGCAACUUUCCUCGACCUAGUAGGCUUUAUGUGGGGAUUUCUAGGUUCCUAAUAAGCCAAGUCAUCAAGUCAGAAACCAAAUCAAAUACAUUUAAAUGUAAAGCAAUAAGCUUAUAUUGACACAUACCUUACAACUAAUUCGAUUAUGCCAUUCUCCACUGCAAUUGCCACACUUUAAAGGGAUGCCAUACCUAGGAAGCUUAUAUGGAUUAGAAGGUUGUUUAGGUUCAUCAACAGCUUGUUUUCUUGUCUUCUUAGGCCUACCAGGCUGCUUGUGGUAUUUCAGAGGGAGUAAUGGAGGUAAAUUAAUCUUCAUCCACUGAUCUUGGCUAGUCAUAGGCAUAAUCAUUGGUUCAUAGGCUCUCAAAUAAGCCUCUUUCUUGUACACUGCAUCACAAAAGUCCUCUGGAUUCCCAUGAAACCAACUUAUUGCAGCACAAGCAUGCAAACAUGGUAUUCCAUUCAAAUCCCAAGCAUGGCAUGAACAAGAGUGGGCAUUCAAAUCAACAACAAAGUUGCGGCCACUAUGGUGCAUUACUUCAAACUUAUUAUGUCCAGCAGCCUUAGGAAUGCACCACUGAGCUUUUCCUUUGUUUUUCUCUAAUAUCUUUCUAAUUCUUGGCCCAACUUGUCCAUGCCAUUUCUCACAGAAAACCCUUCUUCCAGCCAUCAACAACAUUAUAUACAACCGAAUUCUUUCUAGCAUAGUCAAAACAGGCUUGUCUCUAGCAUCCAUUAUGCUAUGGUUGAAUGCCUCACAUAGGUUGUUCAUAAGCAUGUCACACUUGGAAUCACUCUUGAAAUAUGCCCUACUCCAAUGCGCAGGAUCUUUCUCUACAAGCCAAUCAUGUGCAGGUUUAGACAACUCCAACAACUUUCUCAUCUCUGCAUGAAACCAUGGCACUGUUGUGGCCCUAGCAAUUGCUUCCAUUUGAUGUUUCAAAGCAAGACCUCUAUGUUCCAUAUAGAAGUUUCCAUAUAGAUGUUUCAAACAAUGUCUAUGCUCUGCAUGAGGGAAUAGAGCAUCCACAGCAUCUAUUAACCAUUUUUGUUUGUCAGUCAUAAAUACAUAACCAUGGCUAUUUGUUAUAUUCAGAUCACCACUCAAUAAUUCUAAAAACCACAGCCAUGUUGAAUUGCUCUCAAUCUCUACAUAUGCAUAGGCAAGUGGAAACAUUCCGUUGUUUGCAUCAACUCCCAUUGCAGAAAGCACUUGCCUAGGGUGAGGCCCUUUGACAUGACACCCAUGCAAGCAAACCACAUGCCUACAACCAUCUAAAAACCCCUAUUGCAGGGUGCAAGACAGAUGUAAAUUCUCUGAAACCUUGGCCUAUCACCUUCCAUUUCAGAUUUAAUGAUAACUGUACUUCCCACAUUUCUGGUUCUUAACUCAUGACAAUAAUCCCACAAUACUUCAUAUUGUUUACUGUAAG